UUCGAAAAUAUUGACGAGAACAUUGCAAUAGAUGUGUACAAAGAUGAGAUAUUAGACCAUGUCAAGAAACUUUGAAUCAACUGGCGUGGAGACUUGCACCGGCACUUUGUGAAACCCAACAAGACUAUGCAGGAGGCUAUGAAAAAGUUGACAAUAUGGUGCAAGAAGUAUCAGAAAUUAAGCGUCUUCUGUCUGGUAGAUCUCUAACUGAUAGUUCUCAUGAGGACUGAUGAUCCACCAGAAUAUAUAUAAGCAUAAGGAGGCAUUUUAA
rnacentral:rRNA from 1 species